CAGAGGCUGCGAUGUAGACCGAGUCCCGGAGUGCAGCCCGUGCGAGCCUGGCUCCUUCUCGGCCCCCUGCAACCAGGAGACCUCGUGCCUGCCAUGUGCUGAAUGCCAGGAGGGUGAGUGGGCUCAG